GACGAACCGUGCGAACGUUGUUCGGAAUCAUUGGGCUUAAAGGGCGCGUAGGCGGGCCCGCAAGUCAGGGGUGAAAUCCCACGGCUCAACCGUGGAAGUGCCUCUGAUACUGCGGGCCUCGAGGGGGUAGGGCGUGCGGAACUUCCGGUGGAGCGGUGAAAUGCGUAGAUAUCGGAAGGAACACCGGUGGCGAAGGCGGCCCGCUGGGCAGUGACUGACGCUGAGGCGCGACAGCGUGGGGAGCAAACAGG
rnacentral:rRNA from 1 species